AUUGAACGCUGGCGGCAUGCCUUACACAUGCAAGUCGAACGGUAACAGGUUAAGCUGACGAGUGGCGAACGGGUGAGUAAUAUAUCGGAACGUGCCCAGUCGUGGGGGAUAACGUAGCGAAAGCUACGCUAAUACCGCAUACGAUCUACGGAUGAAAGCGGGGGAUCGCAAGACCUCGCGCGAUUGGAGCGGCCGAUAUCAGAUUAGGUUGUUGGUGAGGUAACAGCUCACCAAGCCUGCGAUCUGUAGCUGGUCUUAUAGGACGACCAGCCACAAUGGAACUGAGACGCGGUCCAGACUCAUACGGUAGGCAGCUGGGGGGAAUUUUGGACAAGGGACGCAAGUCUGAUCCAGCAAUGCCGCGUGAAGGACGAAGGCCUUCGGGUUGUAAACUGCUUUUGUACGGAACGAAACGGUGAGCUCUAAUACAGUUUGCUAAUGACGGUACCGUAAGAAUAAGCACCGGCUAACUACGUGCCAGCCGCCGCCGUAA
rnacentral:rRNA from 1 species